UUGUUUUUAGUUGUGUAAAUAGUGCAUGUUGUUAUCUAUAUAAAAAAAAUUAGUUAGUUAAAUAUUGUGUUUGCAUAAGUCCAGCAAUAUUGUAGUUCAUUUUAUUUGUGGGCCAAUGAUGAGAUUGAUAAUAAGUUAACCAAUACAACAUUGACUACUAGAAAUGUGAUACAAUUUAUGUUAUGAAUCAAAUCUUGAGCUCGUUUGAAACUGGUAUACAAAAGGUUAGCACAAUUAAUAACAUCUUUGUUGACUGGUCAGUUCAAAUUGAUACAUAAACCGUCUCUAAAGGAUACUGCUAGAGUGAAUGAGAAAACGACAAGGAUAGACAGUAAAGGCGAAAAUUAGGCAAGAACCUAAGUUUGGGGGAUGAUAUAUGGGGUAUAUAAGCUUUUUAUAUAUAUAUAUAUAUAUAAAAGUAUAUAUCGUGACUAGUCUUGUUUCGGGGCCUUUGUUACUUGAGCAAGUACGCCCGAGGGGAUUGUCUUUACACCUAGCGCCCUAAGCUCUUUUAUGGUCUGGGAGUUGUUGGUUGAAAGCUCACUAAGGGGUAGCACUGUCAGCCUAAUGGG
rnacentral:lncRNA from 1 species